UUUAAUGUGCUGCUCCUCGCCCUGUAUGUUCUGAUUCAUUGGAGAGUAGCAAUCAUGUCGACAGGCGCUGUUCUUCAGUUCCCAUCAGCGACAACUAAAGGCCAAUUCAAGGUUGUGGUGGGGUCAUGAAUCUAACACAGUCGCUGAUAGAACAAUUUCCCUUCCACACAGCAUUGUCAGUGGGACACAGUGGGAAUAGACA
rnacentral:lncRNA from 1 species